AAGUCGAACGGCAGCACGGGGGCAACCCUGGUGGCGAGUGGCGAACGGGUGAGUAAUGCAUCGGAACGUGCCUAGUAGUGGGGGAUAACGCGUCGAAAGAUGUGCUAAUACCGCAUACGCACUAUGGUGGAAAGCGGGGGAUCGCAAGACCUCGCGCUAUUAGAGCGGCCGAUGCCCGAUUAGCUAGUUGGUGGGGUAAUGGCCUACCAAGGCGACGAUCGGUAGCUGGUCUGAGAGGAUGAUCAGCCACACUGGGACUGAGACACGGCCCAGACUCCUACGGGAGGCAGCAGUGGGGAAUUUUGGACAAUGGGCGCAAGCCUGAUCCAGCCAUGCCGCGUGAGUGAAGAAGGCCUUCGGGUUGUAAAGCUCUUUCGGCCGGAACGAAAUCGUCCGGGCUAAUACCUCGGAUGGAUGACGGUACUGGAAGAAGAAGCACCGGCUAACUACGUGCCAGCAGCCGCGGUAAUACGUAGGGUGCAGGCGUUAAUCGGAAUUACUGGGCGUAAAGCGUGCGCAGGCGGCUUCCUAAGUCAGAUGUGAAAUCCCCGGGCUUAACCUGGGAACUGCGUUUGAAACUGGGAGGCUCGAGUGCGGCAG
rnacentral:rRNA from 1 species